rnacentral:misc_RNA from 1 species
CACUCAGUAGAUUUCUACUGCUCGGGGAGAGGGGAAAGUCUCCAGCCUAGCUGGCGGAUGAGUACGCUCUGUCUGCACCCUUGUCUUUUUGCGUACUUCUGUUUCCUCGGCGGGCCUGCCCGCCGGUUGGACAACUUAACAACCUUUUUAAUUUUCAAUCAGCGUCUGAAUAAUUAUAAUAAUUA